rnacentral:rRNA from 1 species
UUGAACGCUGGCGGCAUGCCUUACACAUGCAAGUCGAACGGUAACAGGUCUUCGGAUGCUGACGAGUGGCGAACGGGUGAGUAAUACAUCGGAACGUGCCCAGACGUGGGGGAUAACGUGGCGAAAGCUUUGCUAAUACCGCAUACGAUCUAAGGAUGAAAGCAGGGGACCGCAAGGCCUUGUGCGUUUGGAGCGGCCGAUGGCAGAUUAGGUAGUUGGUGGGAUAAAAGCUUACCAAGCCGACGAUCUGUAGCUGGUCUGAGAGGACGACCAGCCACACUGGGACUGAGACACGGCCCAGACUCCUACGGGAGGCAGCAGUGGGGAAUUUUGGACAAUGGGCGAAAGCCUGAUCCAGCAAUGCCGCGUGCAGGAUGAAGGCCUUCGGGUUGUAAACUGCUUUUGUACGGAACGAAAAGGCUCUGGCUAAUACCUGGGGCACAUGACGGUACCGUAAGAAUAAGCACCGGCUAACUACGUG